rnacentral:rRNA from 1 species
GGCCCUUUCGGGGGUACUCGAGUGGCGAACGGGUGAGUAACACGUGGGUGAUCUGCCCUGCACUUUGGGAUAAGCCUGGGAAACUGGGUCUAAUACCGAAUACACCCUGCUGGUCGCAUGGCCUGGUAGGGGAAAGCUUUUGCGGUGUGGGAUGGGCCCGCGGCCUAUCAGCUUGUUGGUGGGGUGAUGGCCUACCAAGGCGACGACGGGUAGCCGGCCUGAGAGGGUGACCGGCCACACUGGGACUGAGAUACGGCCCAGACUCCUACGGGAGGCAGCAGUGGGGAAUAUUGCACAAUGGGCGCAAGCCUGAUGCAGCGACGCCGCGUGAGGGAUGACGGCCUUCGGGUUGUAAACCUCUUUCAGCACAGACGAAGCGCAAGUGACGGUAUGUGCAGAAGAAGGACCGGCCAACUACGUGCCAGCAGCCGCGGUAAUACGUAGGGUCCGAGCGUUGUCCGGAAUUACUGGGCGUAAAGAGCUCGUAGGUGGUUUGUCGCGUUGUUCGUGAAAACUCACAGCUUAACUGUGGGCGUGCGGGCGAUACGGGCAGACUAGAGUACUGCAGGGGAGACUGGAAUUCCUGGUGUAGCGGUGGAAUGCGCAGAUAUCAGGAGGAACACCGGUGGCGAANGCGGGUCUCUGGGCAGUAACUGACGCUGAGGAGCGAAAGCGUGGGGAGCGAACAGGAUUAGAUACCCUGGUAGUCCACGCCGUAAACGGUGGGUACUAGGUGUGGGUUUCCUUCCUUGGGAUCCGUGCCGUAGCUAACGCAUUAAGUACCCCGCCUGGGGAGUACGGCCGCAAGGCUAAAACUCAAAGGAAUUGACGGGGGCCCGCACAAGCGGCGGAGCAUGUGGAUUAAUUCGAUGCAACGCGAAGAACCUUACCUGGGUUUGACAUGCACAGGACGCCGGCAGAGAUGUCGGUUCCCUUGUGGCCUGUGUGCAGGUGGUGCAUGGCUGUCGUCAGCUCGUGUCGUGAGAUGUUGGGUUAAGUCCCGCAACGAGCGCAACCCUUGUCUCAUGUUGCCAGCACGUUAUGGUGGGGACUCGUGAGAGACUGCCGGGGUCAACUCGGAGGAAGGUGGGGAUGACGUCAAGUCAUCAUGCCCCUUAUGUCCAGGGCUUCACACAUGCUACAAUGGCCGGUACAAAGGGCUGCGAUGCCGUGAGGUGGAGCGAAUCCUUUCAAAGCCGGUCUCAGUUCGGAUCGGGGUCUGCAACUCGACCCCGUGAAGUCGGAGUCGCUAGUAAUCGCAGAUCAGCAACGCUGCGGUGAAUACGUUCCCGGGCCUUGUACACACCGCCCGUCACGUCAUGAAAGUCGGUAACACCCGAAGCCGGUGGCCU